UACGUAGGGCGCAAGCGUUGUCCGGAAUUAUUGGGCGUAAAGAGCUCGUAGGCGGCUUGUCACGUCGGUUGUGAAAGCCCGGGGCUUAACCCCGGGUCUGCAGUCGAUACGGGCUAGCUAGAGUGUGGUAGGGGAGAUCGGAAUUCCUGGUGUAGCGGUGAAAUGCGCAGAUAUCAGGAGGAACACCGGUGGCGAAGGCGGGUCUCUGGGCCGUAACUGACGCUGAGGAGCGAAAGCGUGGGGAGCGAACAGG
rnacentral:rRNA from 1 species